AUGCGAUAAGUAAUGUGAAUUGCAGAAUUCCGUGAAUCAUCGAAUCUUUGAACGCACAUUGCGCCCGCUAGUAUUCUGGCGGGCAUGCCUGUUCGAGCGUCAUUUCAACCAUCAAGCCCCCGGCUUGUGUUGGGGACCUGCGGCUGCCGCAGGCCCUGAAAUCCAGUGGCGGGCUCGCCGUAGCACCGAGCGUAGUAGCAUACUUCUCGCUCCGGUAGCAGCGGUGGGCGCCUGCCGUAAAACCCCCCUUAAAAUCUCAAGGUUGACCUCGGAUCAGGUAGGAAUACCCGCUGAACUUAA
rnacentral:misc_RNA from 1 species